rfam:Ictidomys tridecemlineatus contig071644, whole genome shotgun sequence.
GUCCUUUUUGGCUCAUAAGUGAGAUGAUUGAGUGCUCCUGCCAUUAUGUGAGACAGGCCUCCCUCCAAACCUUGGGACCACAUUGGCGUGUCACUCAUCUCAUG